GAUUUUCCGAGCACAGUUUGACUGGCAAUGAGAGACAAUUGAAGUUACAGGCAGAAAAAAAACAUUGGCAAGGAAACAGCUAAGUUUGUAAGAAAAGUGAAAAGGCGGAUUAUCUUUAAUAAAGACGCAAAAGAAAGAAAAAAUGCUGAAAGUACAUAUAGAGGCACUUGCAUGGGUUGUCAUCGUCCUUAAUGUGAAAGAACUCCACAGCAUUGGACUUGAGAUUGCGACAGAAGGUAUAGUUUAUGGAAAAGAAAUCGAAUUAAGAUGCUCUGGGGUCCAGAGUUUCGUCUUCGAAUUCACCGGUACAAGCUCAAAGAAUGCAUCAAUCAAAAUUGGUGGCUGUUCAUCAUUCAACCACUGCUAUAGUACCAAACCAAACUUUAACGUUACUCACAUGGAAGAUGGUGGAAAAUUGAUCAUUUUGAAUUACGAAUACGAAGAUCAGGGAACGUACACAUGUAUUGAUUGGUUUGAUCCCAAGCAGAGAGCAAGUGUCGAAGUGGCGCCCAAGUCUGGUUACACCAGUGCCAGUGAAUAUAACAUUUUUUUAUUCUUCAGUGUGCUGAUUGUGGAAAUUUUCAUUAUUUGAAUCUUUUGGACAUGAGCUUCAACAUUUCAACUAUAAGAUCAUGUGCCUUAUAAUUCUUUACAAAAAAACAUUUUAUAUCACGUAAUCUUUAAGAUGUGGUGCGUGUUGUAACUUCGAGAUAAAGAAGCAAUAAUAUAUGUGAAAGAAUUGGUAGGGAAUGAAAGAAACCCUUUGACUUAUCCGAUAAUUUGAGUAAAAAUCUUAGAGAUAAAUGACAUUAUUUUAUAUGAAAAAGAUGAGUUGCCACCGGGAAUUUCAUUUUUAUUUGACUAAAGAGGGAAUUCGACCGAAAAGAGUUUCAGAUAAUUAAGUACAGCUGUAUGUACACACGUAUAAAUAUAGGAUAAUUUCCCUAAGAUGUGUUUAAACUCCACGUGUAUAGACAAAUGUGUCUGCUUUUAAAAUUUAUAUCAAUUUAUCUAUUUUAAUAUAUUACAUGCAAAAGACGAAGGACCAUCUUGAAUUUUAUAUUUAUAUGAUUUAAGAGGGAAUUUGACAAAACAAAGUUCUAGAUAAUGAAGUUGAUUUGUAUGUAUAUAUGUAUAUAUUGAAAACAAAUUGCAUCUUAUUUGUUUUAAGUCCACGUGUAUACUCUUAUUUAUCUGCUUUUGAACUUUAUAUAUAUUUUUGGUAAAAUAAUUUUACA